CUUCAAGCUUCAAAUUUCCAUGAAGUCAUUGGAGCUGGGAACUUGGCCUGGUAGCUCCCCCACGACUGUGGCUGGCUCGCCCGACUGGGAGAGGGGCCCUCCUCACACCCCCACCACAGCAAGAACUGAGCAGAGCUGAGGGCCCAGCCUUAGCUCGCUAGCCCUCUGCCGCUACCCUACCGCCCCUGCCGAGCAGGAAGUGGUGGGUCCCAGAUGUGACUCACUUUUAUUAGGUAGCCGGUGGAAGGAGCCUACCCAUGAGUGAGACUGACCGCCUUUGGAGUCAAGGUAUCAAGGUCCCAGCCGCCUCCAUGCAGGCAGAGAGCUUGGCUCGGCAGCUUCGGUGCCUCGGAAGAGCCAGAAAAUGAAAGUUACCAAUAAAACCUACUAAACAAAGCAACAACAACAACAACAAAAAAUUCUGAAUGUGGAAGCCGGGGUGUAACUCCGAGGCACACGGUUCGUCCAGAGCACCAAAAGUAAAAGAGGAAAAAAUUUAAAAGCAUCUUCUGAAAGUGAUACACACUUAAGAAAGAGAGAAAUCCAAGAUGUCUAAAAAAAAAAGGAAACUUUUUCUUUCCCUCCCUCUGGCCCAAGGCCCCUGGCGGCCUAACUAGAGGGGUCCCACGCACACAGCAGAGGGUGGAGCUGGUACCUUAGCUUGUUCAGGGGCAGGCACAGACAUCAUUCUCCCUUGGGGAGAGGGUGGCAUGGCGUCUGGAUGGGGGUUAAGACGUACCUCGAAGGCUUGGACAGGAGACAGUAGUGUAGGCUCUGUCUAGAAGGCUCUACCUCACCCUGAGCACUCUGCACUCUCUGCUCUAUAGGUGAUUGCAAGGGCAGUGUAGACCCAGGGGCCCCAGGGCUUGGGCCUUGUGUUGUUACUGGGGAGCUCUCAGCCUGUGUGCGAAUAAACGCAUUUAGGAUAAAUACUUAACGUUUGAGCGAUUUUUUUUUGGGGGGGGGGAAAUACUGAAGACACUGAAUCUAGCGUGAGAUGUGUUUUUGUCUUGGAGAGUGGAGACCGCAGUGGUAAGAGCUGGCUGGGUUUCAGAGGAAGUCUGAAACGAGGCCUGCUGCAGGAAGUUCAGCUUUGGGGUCUCCUCAUCUCUGUGGAGUGCUGUGAGGUCUGGGGCUCCCUCUCCCAGGUGUCUGUGUGGAGAGAGAAGGCAGGAAGGUUGC
ensembl:lncRNA